GUUUACAUAAUUUAAUGAAGAAUAUUACACUGAAGAUGUAAAGGUGGUUUUAAUAAUCUGUAAAUA
rnacentral:tRNA from 1 species